GAUGAACGCUGGCGGCGUGCCUAAUACAUGCAAGUCGAGCGAACAGACGAGGAGCUUGCUCCUCUGACGUUAGCGGCGGACGGGUGAGUAACACGUGGAUAACCUACCUAUAAGACUGGGAUAACUUCGGGAAACCGGAGCUAAUACCGGAUAAUAUAUUGAACCGCAUGGUUCAAUAGUGAAAGACGGUUUUGCUGUCACUUAUAGAUGGAUCCGCGCCGCAUUAGCUAGUUGGUAAGGUAACGGCUUACCAAGGCAACGAUGCGUAGCCGACCUGCGAGGGUGAUCGGCCACACUGGAACUGAGACACGGUCCAGACUACUACGGGAGGGAGCAGUAGGGAAUCUUCCGCAAUGGGCGAAAGCUUGACGGAGCAACGCCGCGUGAGUGAUGAAGGUCUUCGGAUCGUAAAACUCUGUUAUUAGGGAAGAACAAAUGUGUAAGUAACUAUGCACGUCUUGACGGUACCUAAUCAGAAAGCCACGGCUAACUACGUG
rnacentral:rRNA from 1 species